rnacentral:rRNA from 1 species
UACGUAGGGUGCAAGCGUUAAUCGGAAUUACUGGGCGUAAAGCGUGCGCAGGCGGUUUUGUAAGUCAGAUGUGAAAUCCCCGGGCUCAACCUGGGAACUGCGUUUGAAACUACAAGGCUAGAGUGUAGCAGAGGGGGGUAGAAUUCCACGUGUAGCAGUGAAAUGCGUAGAGAUGUGGAGGAAUACCAAUGGCGAAGGCAGCCCCCUGGGUUAACACUGACGCUCAUGCACGAAAGCGUGGGGAGCAAACGAGG